AGGCCAUAUCACGUGGUAGCAUCGGUUCCCGUACGAUCACCGAGGUUGAUCAACGUUGAGCCUGGUCAAUACCUAGAUGACUGAUCACUUGGGAAUAACAGGUGUUGUAAG